UACGGAGGGGACUAGCGUUGUUCGGAAUUACUGGGUGUAAAGCGCGCGUAGGCGGAUUUGUAAGUCGGGGGUGAAAUCCCGGGGCUCAACCUCGGAACUGCCUUCGAUACUGCAAAUCUCGAGUCCGGAAGAGGUGAGUGGAAUUCCUAGUGUAGAGGUGAAAUUCGUAGAUAUUAGGAAGAACACCAGUGGCGAAGGCGGCUCACUGGUCCGGUACUGACGCUGAGGUCCGAAAGCGUGGGGAGCAAACAGG
rnacentral:rRNA from 1 species